rnacentral:rRNA from 1 species
CCUGAUCCAGCCAUGCCGCGUGAGUGAUGAAGGCCCUAGGGUUGUAAAGCUCUUUCACCGGUGAAGAUAAUGACGGUAGCCGGAGAAGAAGCCCCGGCUAACUCCGUGCCAGCAGCCGCGGUAAUACGGAGGGGGCUAGCGUUGUUCGGAAUUACUGGGCGUAAAGCGCACGUAGGCGGGUAUCCAAGUUGGGGGUGAAAUCCCGGGGCUCAACCCCGGAACUGCCUCCAAAACUGGGUACCUAGAGUCCGAGAGAGGUGAGUGGAAUUCCCAGUGUAGAGGUGAAAUUCGUAGAUAUUGGGAAGAACACCAGUGGCGAAGGCGGCUCACUGGCUCGGUACUGACGCUGAGGUGCGACAGCGUGGGGAGCAAACAGGAUUAGAUACCCUGGUAGUCCACGCCGUAAACGAUGAGAGCUAGUUGUCGGGCAGCAUGCUGUUCGGUGACGCAGCUAACGCAUUAAGCUCUCCGCCUGG